AGUCGUUGUAGUAUAGUGGUAAGUAUUCCCGCCUGUCACGCGGGCGACCCGGGUUCGAUCCCCGGCAACGGCGGCUUUUUAUCCUUUUCAAAUUGUGCGCUUCAUUUUUCUGCUUUCAGUUUAAAUCAAACCGUCACUUAAAAUCCCGUAAACCCAACCGGCGGGCGACCGGUCGACGGCUCCGUUUCUUCAACCAUAUUUCGUUUUUAGUCCUUCCCAAAACAAAAUCAACAAAACCCCCUUUAAACCCCCCAAAAAAAAAUUCCGCCCUAAUCUUAAUUUACAUUUCGCUACUCUUCCCAGUUCCCACACCUCUUAUCCAGUUGAACACUGUCCGUUAGGGUUUAAGUGCAAUAUACUAAGCUAAAAUUUACUUUAAAAAACUUCUUUAAAUUUUUAGCGAUGGAAACCGAUGAAACGCCACGCGUGCUUCCUUUUCAACUUCAGUUCGACAAACCUGUCGCCUCUCAGAUUAAAAUCGCGGAAUGGAAUCCAGAGAAAGAUUUACUGGCUAUGGUUACUGAGGACUCCAAGAUUUUGCUUCAUCGGUUCAACUGGCAAAGACUCUGGACGAUUUUUCCUGGAAGGUGCAUUACAUCCUUAUGUUGGCGUCCUGAUGGUAAAGCGAUAGCAGUUGGGCUGGAGGAUGGCACAAUUUCAUUGCACGAUGUUGAAAAUGGAAAGUUGUUGAGAAGUUUAAAGUCUCACACUGUUGCUGUUGUGUCCCUUAAUUGGGAGGAGGAUGGACAAGUGAUUAAAGAUGAUUCUGUCAAUAAUUCAACAUAUGAGGACCGCACUUCUCGUUUCUUUCCUCCUGCUCCAAGAGUUCCUAGGAUGCCUGGGCUGGCACCUGGAGAUACUGGCUUCAUGGAUGAUAGUGAUGAUUCAUUUCGUGAGCUUUCAAAUUCCUCAUACCAACGGUUUAACAUUUUAUGUAGUGGUGACAAAGAUGGAAGCAUAUGCUUUAGUAUAUUCGGAAUAUUUCCGAUAGGGAAAAUAAACAUACACAAUUUGUCUAUUCCUACUCCGUUUGCUACUGAGCCAGCUACAUGCAGACUUUCGCAUGCUUCAAUUUCCAAGGUUGCUUUGUCCAAAGACCUUUGUCAUCUGAUAGUAAUGUGUUCUGGAGAAGUUAACCAUGAUGAGGUUGAAUCUGCUGAGGGACAGCUUGGUAUGCAUGGUUGUCAUUGCUUACGACUCGAUACUUCUAUCUUUUGGAAGAGGAAAAAUGAACUCCACCAAGUGGCCCAACAAGCUUCUAACAUCGAGGAUUUAAUUGAAGUUAUUCGCGCAUCAUUAUCGGUAAUGUCUAAACAAUGGUCAGAUGCCAUGCACACUUUUCGCGAGAAGUUUGAUUCUCUAUCCAGUUUAAUAAUUGACCACGGGCUGGACUCAUCACCCCAAGAGGAGUUUCUGAGCCUUCUAGGUGGUGCUCGAACUAGUCCACCUGUUCAUCAGUUUCUAGUUAACUCUUUGGGUGAAUCGGGAGUGAAGCGUGUGUCAAAGGUUGUUUGUGGUGCUGGAAAAGAGCUUCAGCAUGUUGUCCUCGAUCAUCUUCAGCCUGCUGCUGAAAUUAUUGGAUUCAGGAUGGGAGAACUUAGAGGUCUUUCUAGAUGGCGCACUCGUUUUCAGGGUAUUGGCCUGGACGAGACUCUUAUCAAUAAUGCAACAGAAAAAUCUGGAAUCUUACUAGUGCAAGUUGAGAGAUUUAUGAGGGUGCUUUCCUCUGUGGUACAGCAGUUUUCAAACUUCUUUAAUUGGUUGCUAAAAUGCAUAAAGCUAGUUAAUCAAGAGCCAAGUGAUCAGCUUCUACCCUGUAACAGUGAACUUGUUGUUAUAUUCUUGAAGUUCUUAUAUGAUCAAGAUCCUGUCAAGCCCUUUCUGGAGUUGUCUGAAGUUGAUAUUGAACCUGAUAUGGAAACACUGCAAAGAGUUAAAGAAUUAGUUCAUUUUGGGGGAUUUUCUGAUUGUGAUUUCCUGAGGAGGACAUUAGCUGAGGAAUUUAAGCAGAUGGAGUCUAGUUUCAAGGAGGCUUUCUUGAUGCCUUUUACUACAAUUUCAAGGAAGAUGCUUUGCAAGGAUGUGCUACCACUGUUUGCCCUCCCAUCUUCAUCUGCAUCUGUAUCUGUUUCGGUUCCUAUUUCAGUAACAUACUACAAGGAUGCUUCCACAUCUGUCUCAUCUUACCUGACUCACGAACACGGGUUUAUAGAUUAUAUUUCUUUCCAAAUCCCCGGUGACUCUUCCUCAAAUAUUGCUAAUUGUAUAGGCAUAUCAAGGAGAUUCAUGCACAGUUUGAGCAAUAGUAGUAUUGAAGAAUCUGCUUCUUUGGAAGCUGUUUUGCUCUCUGUUCCUGAUGGUUAUCACUGUGUGGAUCUAUCUUUGUAUAAGAAAGGCCAAAUUGUUUUGCUAUUAAAUGAAUCAACUUCUGCUUCUGAAUGCUCUGGUGAAUCUUGUAUGAUGAUCGUCCAAGCUGAUGAUCUCCCAUUCGUAUCCAUUCCAAGAUCAGGUUGUAUAAACACCUGGAACCUAGAUCAGCUAAAGGACUCUGUUACGCACUUACGACUGGAAAAUGAAAAGGUCCGAAAUAUCCCUCAUUCUGUAGCUGCCCCUCUGGCAGUUAGUGCGUCGAGAGGUGUAGCUUGUGUUUUUGCUGCUAGAAAGCGUGCCUUGGUCUACAUACUGGAUGAAGAUGAAGAUGAUGUUUCGGAUGGUGAAUGACUGCUCCGUCUUCGGGAAAAAGAUUGUUUCUAUAUAUUUUUGUAUUUCAUUGCAUUGAGCCAUAAGUUCUAGUUUUAUAGCAGGUAAAAAUGAGGAACAAACAUCAGCACACGUUGGAUUUGGCAGCUUCCACCAAGGAACGGGAGGGUCAUUUCUCCUUUAUGUUUUCAGAGAAAGAAAAAGCAGAGAGCGACGAAGAGACAGACAAAACUGGGCAGAGCCGAAUAAAUUCGUAGAAAACGAAAGAACGUUUAAAAAGGGUGGCUUCAGAUUUCCUUAUAAAGCUGUGAAAGACAUUUCAAUUCCACACAUUUCCCAUCAACACGCAUACAGAUAUACAUACAUACAUAUUUCAUUUAAGGUUGAAUCAAUUUUUGGUCGUAAA